GGGAGGCGCCGGCUGCGCGCCGCACCGGGGCCUGCGCGGCCGGUCGGUGACCCUGAGGGGAGCGUUGGUCGGGAUGUUCGGAAAAACACCCCUCCCUUCCCCCCAGUGUGAAGAUCCCUCUGCUGCAUAUAUGGGAGUGGAAGUAUACAGUCGGCAGUUACCACAAUGCUCCCACAACGAGGUGGGCUUCCACAAAGGUGAAUGUCGGUGGAGUGGCAGUAGAUUGAACCUUCCCACCAGUGUUCCAUCACAUGUCGCUGUGUGACAGAUGGCAGCAGAGCGGCACUGACAGAAUGGCAUCUGACAUGGAAGCGUGGAUGAAGCGAAGGUGUGGGACUGAAUUCCUCCUUGUGGAAAAAAAAAAU
ensembl:lncRNA